rnacentral:rRNA from 1 species
CCUACGGGAGGCAGCAGUGAGGAAUAUUGGUCAAUGGACGAGAGUCUGAACCAGCCAAGUAGCGUGAAGGAUGACUGCCCUAUGGGUUGUAAACUUCUUUUAUAAAGGAAGAAAACAAGGCACGUGUGCCUUUUUGCAUGUACUUUAUGAAUAAGGAUCGGCUAACUCCGUGCCAGCAGCCGCGGUAAUACGGAGGAUCCGAGCGUUAUCCGGAUUUAUUGGGUGUAAAGGGAGCGUAGAUGGGUUGUUAAGUCAGUUUUGAAAGUUGGCGGCUCAACCGUAAAAUUGCAAUUGAUACUGGCAGUCUUGAGUACAGUUGUGGUAGGCGGAAUUCGUGGUGUAGCUGUUAUAUGCUUAUAUCUCAC